rfam:Ictidomys tridecemlineatus contig082516, whole genome shotgun sequence.
GGAGCUGUGGCUCAGUGGUAGAGCACUUGCCUGGCAGGUGUGAGGUCCUGGGUUCGAUCCCCAGCACCA